CGCAUGCGCGAUAAGGAAGGAAACGGACUACGCAUGCGCGGCUUGAGAAGCCUCAGACCCUCUAUUCGAUUAUUGACUUCAUUUCCAGAAGCCUCCGCAGCUUUGGUCAAAGACCGGGAAUUCUGGGAGUUGAAGUCCAAAGAAAAAAACACCUGGAGGCCCAGAGUUUGGGAAGCCACUGUUAGAAUGGUGUCAAUGCGUUGAGAUUCAACCUAACUGACAAGGUUCAAUGCUAUGGAAUCAUUGAAGUAGUGUGCCACUGGCCAGCAAUGGAAGUCUUUCGCCUCAGGACUUCAUGGCUUUUUGUGCUUGGGUUGAGCGUGGUGCUGAUAUCCGGGCCGAGGUGUGAGCCAGCCUUCAUCUACACAGUGACAGUUCAUCUCAUCUCUACAUCAGUCCAGUAGAUUCUGCGGCCUCAUCCGGAGGGACCAAACUCAAGGGAGAUGAGCACCUCUUGCAACCUGUGGGGGCUUCUUGUUUUAGAGUCUGAGUGAACUGGAUGACUUGUCCAUUUCCUCGGGUCUUGUAAACAUUGCCCUUGAUAAGUUUUGUGGCAUUCUCCUGAUCCAAAACCAGCCCCAGGUGGGUCAGCAUAUAGUUGUUACACUUGGCCAGGCCUUUUCGUUGGCCGCCACAUGAUGGCAUGGGUCACGUGAGGCUUCAUGGUGGAGUCCAUCUGGAUGUGGGAAGUGGGCUUGUGGUCCACCCACCUCUCCCCAACCAAGUGGGAGCACCAGUGACGCAGCUGAACUGGUGGGGUAUUAGGAACUGGUGGGGGAGACAUAGACCUUGACAGGGCCUUCUCACUGUCCCUCUCCCAUUCGUCUGACACCUGGCGCUGGAGCUUCUGGCUCUUGUUUUCGAGCUCCAGCUGCAAGUUGCACUUCUCUUCCUUGUAGAUUGUGGUGGUUUUCUCCAAGAUGUGAAUCUUGUAUUCAAGCGUUUUGGAUCUCUUUUCCAGGCGCUCAACUUCUGCCUUUUGCCUUGAGAUAAUCUUGUCCUUUUCAACAAUUUGUAAGUGCGCAUAGUUCUUUCUAGCGACAAUUUGGCAUCAAGUUCUUGUAACGUACCCUUUAUAGAAAGAACAUUUUUGCAGAUUCUUCCUUGAUUGCCUGCUGGGCAUGAUGGCACUUUUCCAGCACUUUAAUCAGCCAAGGAACAGUCUGGUCAUCAUUGAUGUCCAGAAGUUCUCAGGAUGGCAGCAGGGGAGGCACCUCCAUGGCAGACCUUUCUUCAUCUCCGUUGACUGUUUUUCCUCGGAGCUCCAGCUGCCUAAUACAUACACAGCACACAGUAGGUUCUCAGUUAACCGGCAUCCAUGAGGAUUUAUAGAUGCCAGAUAAACAUAGUUUCUGGUUGCAUGAAAAGUACUAUUAAAGAUAGGCCUAAUACUAUACCCCAUACUAUGCCAUAGCACAAACAGUAAUUAAAAACAAAUUAAGACGAAUAAAGACACAUUUUCAGUCCAAAACAGGUAAUCUGGAUUUUAUAUGGCAGUGUAGAAGAUGCCUAAAUAUAACAUAGUUUUAUUGUAUUAUAAAAACAGUUUUGUUAAUGCAGUAUUACUGUAUUCUUUCAAUUUUUGUCAGGUUGCUUGAGAGUUACAGUUACUUGAGUUCCAAUUAAAUGAGAAUUUGAUAUAUACUGUGUAUUCACAUAUAUGUGUGUGAAUGUGUCUUUUAGUAUAAGUUUCUGCAGAUGAUAUGAAGGCUUCCUACUAAUCUAUUUCUUUCCUUUCUUUUCCCACUCUCCUUCCUUUAAAAACCUCUGGCCAAAAUUAAUUCAACCCUCAAAGGUGUAAAUUCUUCACAGCUUGAAUAAAAUCCUAUAUGCUUUUCAA